CAGCAGCCGCCGCGGUAAUACGGAGGGUGCAAGCGUUAAUCGGAAUUACUGGGCGUAAAGCGCACGCAGGCGGUCUGUCAAGUCAGAUGUGAAAUCCCCGGGCUUAACCUGGGAACUGCAUUUGAAACUGGCAGGCUAGAGUCUUGUAGAGGGGGGUAGAAUUCCAGGUGUAGCGGUGAAAUGCGUAGAGAUCUGGAGGAAUACCGGUGGCGAAGGCGGCCCCCUGGACAAAGACUGACGCUCAGGUGCGAAAGCGUGGGGAGCAAACAGGAUUAGAUACCCGAGUAGUCCCUGUCUCUUAUAC
rnacentral:rRNA from 1 species